GACGAACCGCUGGCGGCGUGCCUAACACAUGCAAGUCGAGCGGGGUUGAAGCGAGGGUAACUCGGACUUCUACCUAGCGGCGGACGGGUGAGUAACACGUGGGUAACCUACCUGGAAGACAGGGAUAACGAUUCGAAAGGGUCGCUAAUACCUGAUAAUAUCCAUCUGCCGGAUGGCGGAGGGAAGAAAGGGGAAACCCGCUUUCAGAUGGGCCCGCGUCCCAUCAGCUAGUUGGUAAGGUAAAGGCUUACCAAGGCGACGACGGAUAGCCGGUCUGAGAGGAUGUACGGCCACACUGGGACUGAGAUACGGCCCAGACUCCUACGGGAGGCAGCAGUUGGGAAUCUUAGGCAAUGGACGAAAGUCUGACCUAGCGACGCCGCGUGAGGGAAGAAGGCCUUCGGGUUGUAAACCUCUGUCAUGGGGGAAGAAGGAAGUGACGGUACCCCAAGAGGAAGCCCCUGCUAACUACGUG
rnacentral:rRNA from 1 species